rnacentral:rRNA from 1 species
CAGAAGCGUAUGCUAAAGUUGUUGCAGUUAAAAAGCUCGUAGUUAACUUUCGGACGGGGUUGACCGGGUCUUGGUACGAAUGUGCCUUGCUACUUGUGUCGACCUAGUCCUCCUCCGUUUUCAUUUAGGGAACGGUCAUUGACUGUAAAAAAAUUAGAGUGUUCAAGGCAGCUCAUGGAGCUGAAUAUAUCAGUAUGGGAUCACAAGAUAGGACGUCGCGUGCUAUUUUGUUGGUUUGUACACGUGCGUAAUGAUCGAAGGAAUCAGUUGGAGAUGUUCGUAUUUCGAAGCUAGAGGUGAAAUUCUUGGAUUUUUGAAAGACGAACUACUGCGAAGGCAUUCAUCAAGGAUGUUUUCACCAAA